GGAACGUUAGCUCAGUGGUAGAGCAAGCUUAUCCGGAAAAGGUCGGCGGUUCGAUUCCGCCACGUUCA
rnacentral:tRNA from 1 species